UAAGUGGGACAAAUGAUCGCGCCUGCAAGUGCCGAAAGGCCGCAGGUGAGGAAAGUCCGGGCUUCAUAGGGCAGGAUGCCGGAUAACGUCCGGUGGAGGUGACUCCAAGGCUAGUGCAACAGAAAUAUACCGCCAUAUUGUUUGGUAAGGGUGGAACGGCAGUGUAAGAGACUACCGCCCAUAUGGUAACAUAUGGGGCAGCUGUAAACCCCAUUUGAAGCAAGACCGAAUAGAAGGCUAUGUGGCUGCCCGUCACGCCUUCAGGUGGGUCGCUUGAGACUACUGGCAACAGUAGUACCAGAUAGAUGAUCAUUCGUGCAGGAUACGUUGUAUUCUGCGGACAUAACCCGGCUUAUCGGCCCGCUUACAAU
rnacentral:RNase_P_RNA from 1 species